GGGGGUAUAACUCAAUGGUAAAGUAUGUGUUUAGAAUGCAUGAGGACCUGGGUUUGAUCCCAGUACCACUA
rfam:Ictidomys tridecemlineatus contig013778, whole genome shotgun sequence.